rnacentral:lncRNA from 1 species
ACAAUGUCGUCGGCUAAAGUCUGGACUAUAGCCGACGAAACAAUGUCGUCGGCUAAAGUCUGGACUAUAGCCGACGACUUAUACCUGUGUCGUCGGCUAAAGUCACCACAGACGAGCUUUUCCCGACGAAAUCUUAGCCGACGAAAGGUCGUCGGCUAAGAUCUUAGCCGACGAAUUAAGCUGACAGGGCGACGAAAAAUUUUCGUCGGCUAAAGUGCUUGUCCUGGUAGUAUUUGGCAAUCACUCCAAAAAUAAAUUGCUUACAGGAUCAUUUGCUCUAAAAGAAAAUUGGUCAAUUGUUCUUCAUAAUUAUGGAAAUAUAGACUCUAAAAGAGAAGUGGUCGAUUUAGAAAUAUAAACCAUAAGUAAAACAGAAGUUGACAUCAAUUUGCUUCAAGUAUAUAGAACUUGCAAUCUAUGGGCUCUUCCAUGUCUUCAUCUAUCUGCACCAAAAAUAUACAUGAAGUUAAACAACAUGACAUUCCCAAAAUACCUAUAGUAGUCAUAUUUUGUUUGAAAAGUGACACUACCUUACGGUAAAUAAUACGGCCUAUGUUUUGAACCAUGUUGUUGUUCUUCAGUUAAUGAAUCCAUAUCCUACAUUAUACAUUAGUCAAAGAUAUAUCAACUAAUGCCUAAAUGUGACAGGAAAAAGAUUAAUUAUCAAAUUUACCAAACCUGGCUUGGUUGAGGAUAUGAUCCAAAUUGAUGGUUUGGAGCAUAUGUGCUUCC